AGAACGAACGCUGGCGGCAGGCCUAACACAUGCAAGUCGAACGCUCGUAGCAAUACGGGAGUGGCGCACGGGUGAGUAACGCGUGGGCACCUGCCCGGUGGUUUGGGAUAACCGUGGGAAACUGCGGCUAAUACCGGAUACGCCCCUAGGGGGAAAGAUUUAUCGCCAUCGGAUGGGCCCGCGUAGGAUUAGCUAGUUGGUGAGGUAACGGCUCACCAAGGCGACGAUCCUUAGCUGGUCUGAGAGGAUGAUCAGCCACACUGGGACUGAGACACGGCCCAGACUCUUACGGGAGGCAGCAGUGGGAAUAUUGGACAAUGGGGGCAACCCUGAUCCAGCCAUGCCGCGUGAGUGAAGAAGGCCUUCGGGUGUAAAGCUUACGUUUUGGCGGGUACGAUGAGUGACGGUUACCCGCGAGAAUAACGCCCCGGACUAACCGUUCGUGCCAGUACGCCGAC
rnacentral:rRNA from 1 species